rnacentral:rRNA from 1 species
AUGCUAGCGUUAUACGUAGAUCUUUCUGCAAUUAGCGUAGUAUGUGCUAGUUUGACUGAAUAUCAGUAUGCGAUUAUAUGUGUCAAUGCCAUGCUAGUGAUUUACUCAUGGAUUAAUUUAAUCGAGAAAUUGCCUAUUUACUCAACAAUCCAAAAACCUAUUCUGUGUAGGAAUUUUUCGGCAAGUGGCUUUGCCGCUGCACUGAAACCGGAUAAGUUUACCGGUACAUACUUUAAGCGUUGGCAGACUAAGACCACGUUAUGGCUCACGGCUAUGAACGUGUUCUGGGUCACCGGUGUCUCCACGGGAACGAUUGCUCCUGAACAGGAGAAGGCGUUCAAGGAGGCUACCGUUGUGUUUCUCGGAGCAGUUCUUAGCGUGAUCGGAGACAAACUGGUCGACGCAUAUUUACAUGUGCAUGUCGCCAAGGACUUGUGGGAGGCGCUCGAAUCUAAGUUCGGGGCAGCCGAUGCCGGAAGCGAGAUGUAUAUUAUAGAGCAGUUCCAUGAUUACAAGAUGGUUGAAAACCGUCCUGUAUUGGAGCAGGCUCAUGAGAUAAUAUGCAUUGUUAAGGAGCUUGAACUUCUUAAGUGCGAGUUGCCGGGCAAGUUUGUCGCGGGCUGCAUAAUCGCUAAGCUCCCUAAUUCCUGGAGGAACUUUACCACCACUCUGAAACAUCAGAGGCGUGAAUUCUUUAUGGAGGAUGUCAUUGGCCAUCUGAGUGUUGAGCAGAAUUCAAGGGCAAAGGACUCGCACGGAAAAGGGGCCGAAGGGACUUCUGUCGCCAACAUGGUGAACCAAAAGAACUUCAACUCCCACAAGCCCAAGGAAAAGAACGGUGUCCAACACAAUACCGACUUUAAGAAGAAGGGUAAGAAGACCUUCAAGAAGAACAAGAAGGACGAGGGCUGCUUUACUUGUGGUUCGGUUGAACAUUGGGCCAACAAGUGCCCAAACAAGUACAAGAAGUGA